rnacentral:tRNA from 1 species
GCCUUCGUGGCGUAAUGAUAGCACACUCGGCCCGUAUUCGAAAGGUUCAGGUUCGAGUCCUGGCGAAGGCA